rnacentral:rRNA from 1 species
CCUUAAUCUGAGCAGGGUAAGCCGGCCCCUAAGGCGAGGCCGAAAGGCGUAGUCGAUGGGAACCAGGUUAAUAUUCCUGGGCCAGGAGGAAGUGACGGAUCUGAAACGUUGUCUGCCCUUAUCGGAUUGGGUGGGCCGCCAACAGGUCCCUGGAAAUAGCCCUCCAUCAGACCGUACCCUAAACCGACACAGGUGGACUGGUAGAGAAUACCAAGGCGCUUGAGAGAACCACAUCAAAGGAACUCGGCAAAAUACCUCCGUAAGUUCGCGAGAAGAAGGCCCCGUUGGCAGGCAACUGUCGGCGGGGGGCACAAACUAGGGGGUGGCGACUGUUUACUAAAAACACAGGGCUGUGCGAAGCCGCAAGGCGACGUAUACAGUCUGACGCCUGCCCGGUGCUGGAAGGUUAAAAGGAGGGGUGCAAGCUCCGAAUUGAAGCCCCAGUAAACGGCGGCCGUAACUAUAACGGUCCUAAGGUAGCGAAAUUCCUUGUCGGGUAAGUUCCGACCUGCACGAAUGGCGUAACGACUUCCCCGCUGUCUCUGAUGUGGACUCAGCGAAAUUGAACUGUCUGUCAAGAUGCAGACUUCCCGCGGUUAGACGGAAAGACCCCAUGCACCUUUACUCCAGCUUUGCACUGGCAUCAGGAUUGUGAUGUGCAGGAUAGGUGGUAGGCUUUGAAACGGGGACGCCAGUUCUCGUGGAGCCUCCCUUGAGAUACCACCCUUCGCACUCUUGAUGUCUAACCGCGGUCCGUCAUCCGGAUCCGGGACCCUGCAUGGUGGGGAGUUUGACUGGGGCGGUCGCCUCCCAAAGUGUAACGGAGGCGCGCGAAGGUAGGCUCAGACCGGUCGGAAAUCGGUCGUUGAGUGCAAUGGCAGAAGCCUGCCUGACUGCAAGACUGACAAGUCGAGCAGAGACGAAAGUUGGUCAUAGUGAUCCGGUGGUCCCAAGUGGGAGGGCCAUCGCUCAACGGAUAAAAGGUACGCUGGGGAUAACAGGCUGUUGAUGCCCAAGAGUCCAUAUCGACGGCAUCGUUUGGCACCUCGAUGUCGGCUCAUCUCAUCCUGGGGCUGGAGCAGGUCCCAAGGGUAUGGCUGUUCGCCAUUUAAAGAGGUACGUGAGCUGGGUUUAGAACGUCGUGAGACAGUUCGGUCCCUAUCUGCCGUGGGUGUAGGAGACUUGAGAAGAGUUGCCCCUAGUACGAGAGGACCGGGGUGAACGGACCACUGGUGGAUCAGUUGUCGUGCCAACGGCAGUGCUGAGUAGCUAUGUUCGGACAGGAUAACCGCUGAAGGCAUCUAAGCGGGAAGCCCCCUUCAAAACAAGGUCUCCCUUGAGAGCCGUAGAAGACCACUACGUCGAUAGGCCGGAGGUGUAAGUGCAGCAAUGCAUUCAGCUGACCGGUACUAAUUGCUCAA